rfam:Otolemur garnettii contig110627, whole genome shotgun sequence.
GCGCUGGUGGCUCAGUGGGUAGAGUGCCGGUCCCAUUUACCGAGGGUGGCAGGUUCAAACCCAGCCCAGGCCA